UGAUGAUUUUUUUCUUCGCCUUGCAAAACGGUCUCUAAUGGCUGCCACUGAUCUUCUAGCUGCUGGCUUUACUGUUGUCACCGACAUUGCCGGAGGGUAUGCGGCGUGGACUCAGAACGGUCUUCCGACAGAAUGAUGAUGUUAUAGCCACAUAUAAAUUGCUGAUACAAUAAUAAACUUAUGAAGA